GAGAGGGAGCCUGAGAAACGGCUACCACAUCUAAGGAAGGCAGCAUGCGCGCAAAUUACCCAUUCCUGUCACAGGGAGGUAGUGACAAGAAAUAACAAUACAGGACCUAACGGUCUUGUAAUUGGAAUGAGUUAUGUAUAAACCCCUUUACAAGUAGCAAUUGGAGGGCAAGUCUGGUGCCAGCAGCCGCGGUAAUUCCAGCUCCAAUAGCGUAUAUUAAAGUUGUUGCAGUUAAAAAGCUCGUAGUUGG
rnacentral:rRNA from 1 species